GUCCCCGUAGCUCAGUUGGAUAGAGCGGCGGUUUCCUAAACCGCAGGUCACAGGUUCGAAUCCUGUCGGGGACGCCA
rnacentral:tRNA from 4 species